AGCUUCUUGAAUUCAUAAGAGGUUAUCCCUGCCCAAUGUUUCAUUUAAAUAAAUGGCCGCAGUACCUUGACUGUGCAAAGGUAGCAUAAUAACUUGGCUUUUAAUUUGAGUCUAGAAUGAAAGGGAAAACGGGGGGGAACUCUCUUACUAUAACCAGAUUACUCUAACUUAUCAUAUAGGUGCAAAUGCCUAUAUUCUAGAAAAAAGACGAGAAGACCCUAGGAGUUUUACUUAGUAUACUAUUAGUAGUAUUUUAAUGUUUGACUGGGGCGGUCAAGGGGCAAAUCGCAACCCCCUCUUAAGUUGUAUACAAGUCAGAAGUGUACUCCAGGGAUGAUUAAGCUACCCUAGGGAUAACAGCAUAAUUCUCUCUUAGAGUUUAUGACCUCGAUGUUGGACUAGGAACCCACUUGCCUAGAAAGCAAGUGGUUUGAUUCUGUUCGAAUCUUUCUUUCCU
rnacentral:rRNA from 1 species